rnacentral:rRNA from 1 species
AGAAGAUACUAAGGGCGCACGGCGGAUGCCUUGGCACAGGAAGUCGAAGAAGGACGCGGCAAGCUGCGAUAAGCUCCGGGGAGGCGCAAACGGCCUUCGAUCCGGAGAUCUCCGAAUGGGGGAACCCAGCAGGGGUCAUGCCCUGCUACCCGCGCCUGAAUGAAAUAGGGCGCGAGGAGGCAACCCGGGGAACUGAAACAUCUAAGUACCCGGAGGAAGAGAAAUCAACCGAGAUUGCGGGAGUAGCGGCGAGCGAAACCGCACCAGCCCAAACCCAUGCACGUGCAAGCUUGAGGGCGUUGCUGCAUGAGGGGUUGUGGGACCGCGCAUUCCAUGGGCCUCAGACCAUGGACGCAGUUACAAAUCCGCGCGGAAGCGGAACGGCCUGGGAAGGCCGGCGGAACAGGGUGAGAGCCCCGUACGCGAAUCCGCGCGGACUGCGAGUGCGGCGCCCGAGUAGCGCCGGGCACGUGAAACCCGGUGCGAACCUGGGGGGACCACCCUCCAAGGCUGAACACUCUCCUGUGACCGAUAGCGAACCAGUACCGUGAGGGAAAGGUGAAAAGCACCCCGAGAGGGGAGUGAAACAGUACCUGAAACCGUGCGCCUACAAGCAGUCGGAGCCCCCGAGCGGGGUGACGGCGUGCCUUUUGUAGAAUGAGCCAGCGAGUUGCGGUAUGCGGCGAGGUUAAGGUUUGAACCGAGCCGCAGUGAAAGCGAGCCUUUAAGAUGGCGAUAGAGUCGCAUGCUGCAGACGCGAAGCCGGGUGAGCUAUCCAUGGGCAGGCUGAAGCGGGGGUAAGACCCCGUGGAGGGCCGAACCCACUUCGGUUGAAAACGGAGGGGAUGACCCGUGGAUAGGGGUGAAAGGCCAAUCAAACCCGGAGAUAUCUCGUUCUCCCCGAAAUAGCUUUAGGGCUAGCCUCGGCCGUUCUCCGACGGCGGUAGAGCACUGGAUCGUCGAGGGGGCUUCACCGCCUACCGACACGAACCAAACUCCGAAUGCCGCCGGAUCAGAGGCCGGGAGUCAGAACAUGUGGGCUAAGCUGUGUGUUCGAGAGGGAAACAGCCCAGACCGCCCGCUAAGGUCCCCAAGUUCAUGCUGAGUGGCAAAGGAUGUGCGUUUGCCUAGACAACCAGGAUGUUGGCUUAGAAGCAGCCAUGCAUUUAAAGAGUGCGUAACAGCUCACUGGUCAAGUGGACAUGCGCCGACAAUUCACGGGGCUAAGCAUGGUACCGAAGCGGCGGACUAAUCUAUAUUAGUGGUAGGGGAGCUUUCCCCGCAGCGGAGAAGCCGAGAGGGCGACCCUCGGUGGAGCGCGGGGAAGUGAGAAUGCUGGCAUGAGUAACGAGAGCGGCGCGAGAAACGCCGCCGCCGUAAGCCUAAGGGUUCCUGGGCAAGGCUAAUCCUCCCAGGGUCAGUCGGGAGCUAAGGCGAGGCCGAGAGGCGUAGCCGAUGCGCAACAGGCGGACAUUCCUGUACCGCCUGCGGACCGCUAUCACCGACGGGGUGACGGAGAAGGGUAGCCGAGCGGGGUUCUGGACGUCCCCGUGAAAGCGCGUAGGGAGCAUCGCAUGGAAAUCAGCGGCGCACGUAUCCUGAGACGCGAGACGAAAGCUUAUGCUGAAGUCGGCGAGCCCAUGCUUCCGAGAAAAACCUCUAGGAAGGGACGCAGGCGCCCGUACCAAAACCGACACAGGUGGGCAGGUAGAGCAUACCGAGGCGAUCGGGAGAACCAUGGUUAAGGAACUCGGCAUACUGACUCCGUAACUUCGGGAGAAGGAGUGCCCCUGGCGGUGACGGGACUAGCUCCCCGAGCGGCCGGGGGUCGCAGCGAAACGGCCCAAGCGACUGUUUAUCAAAAACACAGGACUCUGCAAAGCCGUAAGGCGACGUAUAGGGUCUGACGCCUGCCCGGUGCUGGAAGGUUACGCGGAUGGGUCAGCCGCAAGGCGAAGCUCUGAAGCCAAGCCCCAGUAAACGGCGGCCGUAACUAUAACGGUCCUAAGGUAGCGAAAUUCCUUGUCGGGUAAGUUCCGACCUGCACGAAUGGCGUAACGAUUUGGGCGCUGUCUCAACCAUGGACCCGGUGAAAUUGUAUUAUUCGUGAAGAUG